rnacentral:rRNA from 1 species
AUUGAACGCUGGCGGCAGGCCUAACACAUGCGAGUCGAGCGGAUGAAGGGAGCUUGCUCCUGGAUUCAGCGGCGGACGGGUGAGUAAUGCCUAGGAAUCUGCCUUGUAGUGGGGGAUAACGUCCGGAAACGGGCGCUAAUACCGCAUACGUCCUGAGGGAGAAAGUGGGGGAUCUUCGGACCUCACGCUAUCAGAUGAGCCUAGGUCGGAUUAGCUAGUUGGUGGGGUAAAGGCCUACCAAGGCGACGAUCCGUAACUGGUCUGAGAGGAUGAUCAGUCACACUGGAACUGAGACACGGUCCAGACUCCUACGGGAGGCAGCAGUGGGGAAUCUUGGACAAUGGGCGAAAGCUUGAUCCAGCCAUGCCGCGUGUGUGAAGAAGGUCUUCGGAUUGUAAAGCACUUUAAGUUGGGAGGAAGGGAAGUAAGUUAAUACAUUGCUGUUUUGACGUUACCAACAGAAUAAGCACCGGCUAACUUCGUG